GCUGCUGCUAACACUUUACUCUAUGCUUUAAAGGACAGACGCACAAGUUAACCAAGCAUUACUCGAGUCACAUCAUGCUCAGGUUGUGAAUAGACAAAAAGACACAUUAAGAUGAAGAGGUAAGCUUUGGCUAGGCAGCAUGCUGGUGGCUCCCAGCAACAACAAUGCUGCUCCUUGCCUCCAUUCUCUGCAGCCCUGAACUACUCCUGGUGUAACCACCAUAAACAGCCUUUAAAAAGCCGUCCUAAAGGCAAUAGGAUCCAAAGGCUGAUUUUUUUUUACAGUAGUAAUUCUUGAAAUUAGGUUGUUUUUAAGUUUUGUGGAUUGGUUUUUCCCUCUCAAAGACUGAAGCAGACUGGUGUCAGAGAAGCUUGAAUUACUGAAACCUGGCACAACAAAAAUUAUAUCCACCACCAUCUCUGCAGCUGAAAGCCCUGUACUGGGUUUAACUUACCGACUCCAGUGCCUGCACUGCCCACACGGACAUUGGCUUAAACAUCAGUAGAAGACAGCUUCUGCCAGGGACCUGCAAGCUGGAGCUGGAAAGGAAGCCAGAAAACGUGUUAACUACUGGGAAAUCUGCAACAUCCAAACUGGAAAUUCUGCAGAAAGCCAAUCCGUUUAAAAAGACUUGAUCUGUACAUUAUCAGCAUUUAUCUUCCUCCAAAUACCAUGAUUAAAGAAACUGAAAACUCUAUUAGUAUUUCUGUAAUGCAAUUUAAAACUUGAUUCCUCUCUGCGUUUUACAGGUAUUAGAUAGUACAAUUGCCUUUCACACUGCAUGGAGUUGAAGCACUAGCUUUACAAAUAGACACAAAGCCUGAGCAUCUGAAAACGAAGUUAAUAAUGUGUUUUCCCUAGCCUAAUUCCUUUACCUAUAUAUCUUCAGAAUAACUGAUGAACAAAUAAGCUGCAGGUAAAUUAGCAGGUAUUCAAUUUAUUAGUACAUUGCAGCUUCUGUAUACUUUAUCUUAGUCUUCAUUUUAUUUUGCUGACAGCAUCCUAUAACAGAAUGCAGCUUAAUUGUGCUCAGCAGGACUUUACUUCUGUGAAACUCUGAUUUUGGACCACUAAAUGUAUGAAUUAAAUCUAAACAUAGCUAACUCUACUAUUUCCAGUGCUUAAUUUAAUAGCCUAUGUUACAUUAUAGUUAUAUUCAAAAAGAAAUGUAAUCACAAAAUGACUUGUAGAUGGUCACAGUUGUCUUCAUAAUGAGCAUCCAAAUAACUAGCAAAAAUUGAUCGUGCAGUUUCCAUGUCUUGGGAACCAGUGUACAAUAUAUGAACUCUUUGUAAAUCUGUGUCAGUCUGCAAACUAUGUUUUGACUGCACAGCUCAUCUUUGCCAUCUCCCAUCCUGAACUACAGUUUACAAGGGUGACAGGAG
rnacentral:lncRNA from 1 species